AACGAACGCUGGCGGCAGGCUUAACACAUGCAAGUCGAACGCAGGAAACUGACGGAACUCUUCGGAGGGAAGGCAGUGGAAUGAGCGGCGGACGGGUGAGUAACACGUAAGGAACCUGCCUCAAGGAUUGGGAUAACUCCGAGAAAUCGGAGCUAAUACCGGAUAGUUCAUCGGACCGCAUGGUCCGUUGAUGAAAGGCGCUCCGGCGUCACCUUGAGAUGGCCUUGCGGUGCAUUAGCUAGUUGGUGGGGUAACGGCCCACCAAGGCGACGAUGCAUAGCCGACCUGGGAGGGUGAUCGGCCACACUGGGACUGAGACACGGCCCAGACUCCUACGGGAGGCAGCAGUAGGGAAUCUUCCACAAUGGACGAAAGUCUGAUGGAGCAACGCCGCGUGAGUGAUGAAGGUUUUCGGAUCGUAAAACUCUGUUGUAAGGGAAGAACACGUACGAGAGGAAAUGCUCGUACCUUGACGGUACCUUACGAGAAAGCCACGGCUAACUACGUGCCAGCCGCCGCGGUAAUAC
rnacentral:rRNA from 1 species